AGAAAAUAAUAAAUUUGUUUACAAAUUUUAAAAUUUUUUAUUAAAAUUUAUUAACGGACGGAUCUUACUUACAACAACAACAACAACAAAAAAUCCCCCUCUCUGUACCACAACAACAAUGCCUGUAAUUUUUAAAAUUUGUUUAACUUAAAAGCUACAAAACCAACCGCUGAGAAAAUUCCUUAAAUAAAUAUUGAAAAAAAGAAAAAAAGUGAAGAAAUUAAUUAGUUUUUUGAAAAUACAACCUGCUGCUUUUUCUAUAAGUUUUUAAGUAAAAAAAAAACAACAACAACAUAAAUUAAAAGAAUAUUUUAUAAAAAAAAGCUGCUGCUUGAAAUGCUAAAUAGAAAUUUCCCUUUCAAAAUAAAUUUUAAGUUGUAAAACGCUUCCUUCUACAACUAUAAACCUCGCUCCUCGGUAAAAUCCCACAAUCAUCACAAUCCGAAAUCCUUUUUAAAGAAAAAGCUUACAAACCGUUAAAAAAAAAAGUUUUUCGCUUAAUACUUUUCAUCACAAUUAAAUUCUAGUCAUUUUUGGAAUUUUGCUAAAAAAAUAAAAAAGAAAAAAAAUCAAUUUUUAUUUGAAAACUUUAGAAGCUAAUGGUUUUGAAAAAUCUACUACUACUACUACUACUACUAUUGCCUGCAACCCUGCAAGUAAAGAAACGUCAUUGAGAAAGAAAGAAAAAAACUUGUCAUAAUUAUUAAUUUGGCAACUGAAAUAUUUAGAAAUAAAAAAACAAAUAUUUCUAAAGAAAUCAAUUCAUUUAAAACAAACGUAAAUCAAGAAAAAAGAUAAACAUCUUUAAAAUAUCAAAAUCAAAUCCCCUUCCCUCCACCACCACCACUACUACCAACAUCAUCAACAACAUACCCCUUUAAGCUGACAGCGAGUGCGUGUUUGUGUCUGUGUAUUAAAUAAAUAAUUUUUGCAUUAUAAUAUAUAUUUGUUGUUCCCGCUCCGCCCUACGGCCUCUGUCAGUUGGCAGCUUAAAUUUUUUUUGGUGUAAUAAUAAUUUUCUAUAAUUAUUUUUUUUUCCGAUAAAAAAAAAAGUUUACAAAAUAUCUAUUAUUUGUUUUUAAUUAUCAAAAUCAAAUACGCUAGUGUAAAAUUAAUUAAUUUAACAAAUAUUAAUAAUAAUUAUUAUAUAAUAAAUAUAAUAAUAUAAAUAAAAAAAAUGGCUGCUAUGGUUAAUAUGACCAGCCUUUUAAAUGGCAAAGAUUCACGUUGGCUCCAGCUAGAAGUAUGUCGGGAAUUUCAAAGAAAUAAAUGCUCCCGCCAAGAUACUGAAUGUAAAUUUGCCCAUCCGCCAGCAAAUGUUGAAGUUCAAAAUGGCAAAGUCACCGCUUGUUAUGAUAGCAUUAAGGGUCGUUGUAAUCGUGAUAAACCGCCUUGCAAAUAUUUUCAUCCUCCACAACAUUUGAAGGAUCAAUUGUUGAUAAAUGGCCGUAAUCAUCUUGCCUUGAAAAAUGCACUAAUGCAACAGAUGGGUAUUGCACCAGGACAGCCAGUUAUACCAGGACAAGUGCCACAAGUGGCCACAAAUCCUUAUUUAACUGGCAUACCUGCUAACACAUACAGUCCAUAUUUUGCACCUGGUCAUUUAGUGCCUGCCUUAUUGGGUCCUGAUCCUACAGCUGUCUCACAAUUGGGACCAGUUGUACCGCAAGCGGUACAAGUGGCUCAACAAAAAAUACCACGUUCCGAUCGAUUAGAGAUGGAUGUUAAAACGGUUGGUUCAUUUUACUAUGAAAAUUUUGCUUAUUCUGGCAUGGUGCCCAUUAAACGUCCUGCUGCUGAAAAGUCUGGCAUUCCUGUGUAUCCCGGUGCAACAACAUACCAACAGUUAAUGCAAUUGCAACAACCAUUUGUACCAGUCUCAUUUACUGGACACCCUCCCGGUGUGCCAAGAUUUUAAUAGAUCUAUGUGCAGUCGGUUAAAUUGUAGAUUCGUUCAUUUAACUGAAGACGAUAAGGUUGAAGUAUGUGAUCAACGUGUGGCUGUGUGUCGUGAUCAUGCCAAUGGUCAGUGCAGACGUAAACAAUGUAAAUAUUAUCACAUACCAAUUGUUUUGCCGCCCGCUAAUAUAAUGGCAGCAUUA
rnacentral:misc_RNA from 1 species